rnacentral:rRNA from 1 species
UGAGGAAUAUUGCGCAAUGGGGGCAACCCUGACGCAGCGACGCCGCGUGAGUGAGGAAGGCCUUCGGGUCGUAAAGCUCUGUCAAAGGGAAAGAAAUGUAUAAUGGUUAAUACCUGUUAUGCUUGACGGUACCCUUAAAGGAAGCACCGGCUAACUCCGUGCCAGCAGCCGCGGUAAUACGGAGGGUGCAAGCGUUGUUCGGAAUUACUGGGCGUAAAGGGCGCGCAGGCGGUUUGGUAAGUCAGAUGUGAAAGCCCACGGCUUAACCGUGGAAGUGCAUUUGAUACUGCCGGACUUGAGUACCAGAGGGGAAAGUGGAAUUCCCGGUGUAGAGGUGAAAUUCGUAGAUAUCGGGAGGAAUACCGGUGGCGAAGGCGACUUUCUGGCUGAGUACUGACGCUGAGGCGCGAAAGCGUGGGGAGCAAACA